CAUCGAUAUUUAUGGGUAGUGUAUUUAUAAUGGGCAGAAUUCAGCAUAGACACACGAACUUAAAGGGUAGGCCUUAAGGCCAAACUCCCUUAAAUAGUUGCAUGUGGACAACCCCAUAAACACGACGGGCCAACCCAGACACUUCACAUGCUGAAAUGAACAAGAAAGUUGAUGUUAGUAUGUUACCAUGACAGGAAGAUAUCACUAGGAGGAAGAGGACCAACCGGUAGUGACCAUGGCUGUGGUUGCAGGCAGCAGCUAUGAUGAUGCUAGCCACAACUAAUCCUAUAGUAGGCAGAGCUUUGUGCCACUUCCAGGCUUAGCUGUGAUGUAAGUUAUUUCAGUUUUCUUUUGUUAGGAGAUUGACCAAGGCUGUGGUUAGGUCCCUGUAGCAGCCCAGCCACUGAGGCUUUUAUUGCAUUUUGAAAGGGAGAUUUUGCUACCUUUUAUUUUUGUUUUGUGUAUGGAUUUGGUAUGUAAUGUAAUGGAUUAGGUAUUUUGUUGAUACAUCUCAUUAUGUGUCUCAAUCAAUUAAUGAUAACUUAAUACAUUA